AAAAGCAGGAACAGAGUUAUAAAAAAUAAUUUUUUGGAAAAUUAUAGGUUUCAGAAGAAUCAAUUUCAUGGCCCAAAGUACAUAAAAUUCUAUGUGCUGACGUAGCAGAAAAGAAGGGAAAGUGUAAAACGGCAACAAAAUAUCCUGAGAAAGAAUCUUCACUUUCAGUACCAAGGAGUUAGGGUUCUGAGGGAAGAGGACAACUGUGUGCUGAAGAAAUUAGAGGGGCCUCAUAUUUCUCCCACCUCACUAACAUGGUCAGGCAUCAACAGAGGAGCUGUAUGGUAAGACACCUUACCCAGAUCUCUGUAUUCCAACAGAAUGUACGAGUGUCUAGGAACUGAUGAAUUAUCUUAAAUCUUGAGGGAAAAAAAUAUGCUUUUAAUCUCACUGCAUCAUGAGGAGAUGUAUAUUAAAAACAAUGAAGUGGGGAUACAUUCAAAUAACACACUAAAUGACAACUCAGAAAGGUAAACAAAUCUGAGGCUCACGUAAGAUGUCUGUGUAAACAAAAGCAGAAUGGAUAUCUCUUCUUAACGCCAUAAAAUUGCAUAACUAACUUUAAACUUAGAAGCUCUUCCAUUGUGUGCCUGCGUGUGAGAGAAAGUGUGAGAUAAAGGGAGAAAGGUCAGAAAAGAGAAGGCAGGAGAAACACAGUGUUGACCUGACACACCUUCAUUUCAAAGUCUAAAUCUGUUAGCUUUCUUUUCUUUCAAUGGUCCAUGAUAUUAAUAAAAGUAGAUAAAGUACUGUUUGGUCCUCCAGACUUUAAUGUUUAUAUAUGUCAUCAUUCGCAGAAUGUCAUCACCAGGGAGCUAUGCUAUUGGUGUGAGGAAGACUGGAGAAGCAGGAGGUACUUGAAUCAGAGAAGGAAAGGACUAAACGAACAAAUUGUCAACUUGGAUCAAAAUUGGUGUCUAAGAUGUUCUGCAGCGUCCUUCUGUGCUGGUUAUUGACGCUCUGCUGCUUCCAAAGAUUCUUAUGACUUGCACCACAAGAUAUCUAUGCAAAAGAGAGGCAGGAGUGAAGACUGACUCACGUUUCUAAAAGGGAAGAUGUUAUGGAGGUCAGAAGUCAGAAAUGGGUCUCACUGGGCUAAAAUCAAGGGACAUCAUUGGUGCUCUUACUACUCUCCAACCAAGAUUACAACAUGCCAAUGCUUCUGGAAAAUAAACGGUAUCAGAGAUUUCUAAUCCAGAGUCUGGUUAUUACUAUUACCUGUCUGGAUAUUGGUUUUGUCAUUUCAAUUGCUACUGCCAGAGGGCUAUAGUGCAUUUUUAUGAAUUGUAGCUGAGCAUAUCAAUUUUUUUCCCUGAUGGAAAUAUCCAAGAAGUCAGAUGAGAUCAUAAUUCAAAUUCUGUAAAUGUUUGUUUUAAAAAAUCUGUUAUAAGAAUUCUACCAUUUAUUAUAUAAACAGUGAUUUAUAAGAUCAUUACAUCAAAGAUUACAGUUUUAAAUAAAACUGAAGAAAUAAAAUUGCCUUCCUGCUUUGCCACUUUCUCUCAUGUUAUCAGAUAUUUACUAUCUAAUUAAUUCCAUAUUAGGUAGUAUUAUUUUUCUUUGUCACUCAAGUAGAGACAUUGAUUUGAAUCCUUUCUCAGAUAUAUAUUGAUUUGAAUUAUUUCUCCAAAUAAAUUGUUAUCUGCAUGACAUUAAGCAAAAGGUUUAGGGUCUGCAGGAACCUAGGAAGCAGAGACCAGCCUAUGUUUGUAUAAAUCCCUGCCUGUCUGUGAAUUACUUACUAAACGUGGGGCCAAGUAAUAUUUCACACUGCUGCUCUUGCCAUCUGAAAGGGAGACACCCACAUUUUCCUAAAAGUUCAGAGCAUCACAUCUGGCUUAGCACUCUGAGUGCUGGGGUGUCUGUCACAGACAGUGCUGACUGGAUUCCCUACUUGUGUUAUGAGACAAACACAUUUAUGACUCAAUCCAUCUACUAUGUUAAUGGACCCUUCAAGAAAUCUGGGGUCUGAUGUAAUAUCUAAUAAAAAGAACAAUAACAUAGCUCAGGGACUAUUCCUAGUUUUUUUCUAGGAAAAGCAAAAUAAGCAUGAUGUCUGACCAGAGGAUCUUUAACCCAGGAACACAAAUCAUGGAAUACCUUACUUAAGACCAACAGAAAAAGGGUUCAGUCAUGUUAUGCCAUCUAAUCUCCACUGGCAAAAAAGUUGUGCUGAUGUCUUGAAUUUUCUUGAGUCUACGUCAAGUUUCUCAAAUGCCCUUAGCUUCUAUGCUUCUGUAUAUGAAAUAGACUAAUGCCAACCUCAUGCAGUUAUUUUGAAAAGUAAAUGAAAUAAUAAUGUAGAUAAAACCCUUAGUAGAUUACUUGGCAUACGGUAACUCCUCAAUAAAUAGUAACCACAAUGAU